rnacentral:rRNA from 1 species
AGAGCGAACGCUGGCGGCAGGCCUAACACAUGCAAGUCGAGCGCCCCGCAAGGGGAGCGGCAGACGGGAGAGUAACACGUGGGAACGUACCCUUUGGUUCGGAACAACACAGGGAAACUUGUGCUAAUACCGGAUAAGCCCUUACGGGGAAAGAUUUAUUGCCAAAGGAUCGGCCCGCGUCUGAUUAGCUUGUUGGUGAGGUAACGGCUCACCAAGGCUACGAUCAGUAGCUGGUCUGAGAGGAUGAUCAGCCUCACUGGGACUGAGACACGGCCCAGACUCCUGCGGGAGGCAGCAGUGGGGAAUAUGGACAAUGGGCGCAAGCCUGAUCCAGCCAUGCCGCGUGGAUGAUGAAGGCCCUAGGGUUGUAAAGCCCUUUCGACGGGGAAGAUAAUGACGGUACCCGUAGAAGAAGCCCCGGCUAACUUCGUGCCAGCAGCCGC